rnacentral:misc_RNA from 1 species
UGUGGGAGCGGGCUUGCUCGCGAAAGCGGUGUGUCAGUUAAAGAUGUUUUAACUGGUCCACCGCCUUCGCGAGCAAGCCCGCUCCCACA